AUUGAACGCUGGCGGCAGGCCUAACACAUGCAAGUCGAGCGAGCGGCGGACGGGUGAGUAAUGUCUGGGAAACUGCCUGAUGGAGGGGGAUAACUACUGGAAACGGUAGCUAAUACCGCAUACCAUCAGAUGUGCCCAGAUGGGAUUAGCUGGUAGGUAGGGUAACGGCUCACCUAGGCGACGAUCCCUAGCUGGUCUGAGAGGAUGACCAGCGACACAGGAAAUCUGACACUGUCCAGACUCAUACGGGAGGCAGCAGUGGGGAAUAUUGCACAAUGGGCGCGAGCCUGAUGCAGCCAUGCGGCGAGUGUGAAGAAGGCCUUCGGGUUGUAAAGCACUUGCAGCGGGGAGGCGUUACCCGCAGAAGAAGCACCGACUAACUCCGUGCCAGCAGCCGCGGUAAUUC
rnacentral:rRNA from 1 species